rnacentral:rRNA from 1 species
UACGUAGGGGGCAAGCGUUGUCCGGAAUUAUUGGGCGUAAAGCGCGCGCAGGCGGCAGGGAAAGUCUUGUGUCAAAGACCGGAGCUCAACUCCGGGCUGCAUGUGAAACUGUCCAGCUUGAGUGUAGGAGAGGGAAGUGGAAUUCCACGUGUAGCGGUGAAAUGCGUAGAGAUGUGGAGGAACACCAGUGGCGAAGGCGACUUCCUGGCCUAUAACUGACGCUGAGGCGCGAAAGCGUGGGGAGCAAACAGG